ACAUAAUGCCCAGAUAGAACAGUAAUAAUCACAAUAGGUUUGGUAACCUCUCACUGGCUCAGUGCCGAAGAGACGGUAGGCUAGGCUAGGCUAGGCUGCCACAAAUGUAACCGUUUACAUUUCAAAUUUUAAUGUAAUCUGCGUAGGUACACUGACAUGCCUUUCUUGCACAUCAUAUUAACUCAAAACGAAUAAACGUUUUGAAUAACUGCCAUUUUCAAAGUUAUGUCCCUCCCGUCCUUGACUUUUCCUAAAUAAGUGUAACACACUAUCAUUGUUAAAACCUUAAUAUUAUAAGCCGUUUUAAGAGGACAUGUCACCCCCCCUUGCCCGUCAGACCUGUGCAGUUGAUGGCCCAUCGAAACUACACCUGAACUAUAUCGAAACUAACUUCACACAUAUAGUAAUAGAGUUAGCCUAAAGACAAUAUUAAAUUGACAAUAGUCUAAUUAGUGAGAAUAUUAUAAAUUGUUAAAUGGUAUAUGAAGAAUCGGAUGAACAGCGCAGCUUGGAAUUGACACAGUGGCAGGUAAACAAAACGGAGUGCCAAUAACGGACUUUUGCUCAUUCACAAGCAGAAGGUGGCGCUCCUCCCCGGUCGGGCGGCGCUCGGCGGUCGUCGUUGGAGACUUAGUGACCCCAAGAUGCGACCAAGGUCUAUAAUUCUCCAACUAUGUCCAUUGGACUUUUCUUUGCCUCCUGAACCUUUUUCCUCACUGUGUGUGAGGACAAGAUACACUUGGGUCCUCUAUCAGUGAUGGAUGACAAAGGAAUUUGACAUGGAUGCUAGCAAAUUGUUAUAUCCCAGUGCAACAGCAAGCCAUGGAAGGCCACAAUACAGGUUGUUAAACUGAGAUUCAUUUUCAAAAGUAGAAAGCUAAUGCAGAUUUAAUUUUGUUAGAUUUAUUUUAUAAGAAACUUUAGGGGUGCCAAUAAUUUUGACACUUAUCUUUUUUCAGUUUAUUUUUUUUUAACUUGUUAAACAAAAUCUCUUUCUCUGAGCAGUUUUAUUAGUAUAAAAUAAUAAAACAUAAAAAAAUCAGCAUACUAUAUAGCUUGGUAUUCGUAUUUUUUUUUGCUGUUUUAUCUGCUCCUAUUUUGUUUUCAAUGAGACCGAUUUUGAAUUAUCAUACAGUACAUAUAUUAAAUCACACAAGAAUAGAAUAGCAUAGGCUUCUUAACCAGUGGCUUCAUACAUAAAUACCUACACAGUCCUCUCUCUGUAUGUCCUAUAGGAUUAAACAUAAGGUGGGAGGUUAAUAAGCCUGUUCACAUUAUACAAGGUGAUUGCUUUAAAUUGCAUCAUAUUCUGUCAGAUCCACCUACAGUGCUUUCAGAAAGUAUUCACACCCCUUUACUUUUUCCACAUUUUGUUGUGUUACAGCCUGAAUUUAAGAUGGAUUACAUUGAGAUUUUGUGUCACUGGUCUAUUACACACAAUACCC
rnacentral:lncRNA from 1 species